AUGGCCCAGGCUAAAGGGCGGAAUGAUGGCGCCCUGUCAUCCAAUGAGAACACUCGGUCGCUGUCGUCGGGCGAGGUUGAGGGCGUGGCGUGGCAGGGCCCUCGUACGGUGCUCCUGCAGAAGAACUCCCAGGGCUUCGGCUUCACGCUGCGCCACUUCAUUGUGUACCCGCCAGAGUCCUCCCUCCACAAUAACCUCAAGGAUGAGGAGAAUGGAAACGGCAACGGAAAAGGUUGUCAAAGGGGUCGUCUGGAGCCCAUGGACACCAUCUUUGUAAAGAGUGUGAGGGAGAAAAGCCCCGCCCACCAAGCUGGCCUGUGUACAGGGGACAGACUGGUAAAGGUGAAUGGGGAAAGUGUAUUAGGGAAGACCUACUCUCAGGUGAUCGCGUUGAUCCAGAACAGCGAGAAUGUUCUGGAGCUCUGCAUCAUGCCAAAAGAUGAGGAUGUGUUGCAGUUGGCGUACUCUCAGGAUGCCUACCUGAGAGGAAAUGAGCCAUACACGGGAGGGGCGCAGCAUAUCCCCGACCCUCCCCCACUCUGCUACCCCCGUGCCAAGCCCACUUCCACGGCCCCUCUGCCACCCAACCACCAAAGCCCCCUGGACAACUGGCACUGCCGCCCCAGCCCUGUUAACCAGGCAUCCUCCUUGGACAACCGCUCUGCCGCGGGAGAUUGGCUGCCAUCUUUGGGGCAGAACCGCGGGCGCUCGUCGUCGGCUGUCAGCGCACUGGAUUUCCACUUUGCCAACCACAACGCCGCCAUCGCCUCUGCAACCCUGCCCCACAUGCCCGCCCGGAAGGGAAGUUUACCGGCUACGCGUGCCCACAGCGACGCCAUGUGCCACCAGGCGCUGUCGGACUGGUACUACAGCCAGGCAGAGGCGGCCGAGCGCAUGUCCCCUCGACACCGGAGCAUUUCCCAGGAUCGGUUAGCCGAGCUGGGGUUGGGCUUAGCGCUGGGGAAUUGGCAUUUAGCCAGUACUUCUCCGGCUGAACUCUGCCUAUAUUAUGUCUACCUUUUCCCCACAGCCACAGCCCCCUCCGUUGGUCGGCAGACCCAGCAGCAGCAGGUGGCUGAGCCCCAGACCCAGAGCAGGAGGUUGGAGGAAGAGGAGCUGGUGGGUUACAAGAGCUACAGCCCCUCCUUCUGCCGCAAGGCCAGCCACCUCCUCCAACAAGCCCACUCCUUCAGAGAACCCACCUACAUCGGACCCCACCUCAACUGGGCACCCAGUGCCAAAACCAUGCUGGGGGAGGAGAGGGGGGAGUCGAGGGAGACGCUGUCUCCUCUCCCUCUGGGCCAGGAGGUGGUGCUGAGGCAGAAGCCCCCUAUGGGGCGUCGGACCCCCGUGCAGGCCCUCCGGACACCCUCGCCCGUCUCUGGGGGUACCAGAAUGGGGGACAGUCUAAGGAGGCCCAACGGUAGCCUGCAACCCCACCACAGCACACCCGACUCCCUGGCCUCCAUUCCCUUUAUAGAUGACCCUAUCAGCCCUAGCGCUGACCUACGUGCCCGCCACGUGCCCGCCUGCUCCGUGGUGUCCUCCUCCAGUGCCCCGUGCCCUCUUGUGUCCUCUUUGCCCUGUGCCCUCACCUCUAGCAGUAUCAAAAGCCGCCGUUCCUCCUACCUGCUGGCCAUUACCACGGAGCGCUCCAAGUCAUGUGACGAGGGCCUCAACACCUUCCGGGAGGAAGGCCGUGUCUUCUCGAGACUACCAAAAAGGGUCAAGAGCUUUUUCACUGAUGGGUCUCUGGAGAGUCUACGUGCUGCAGAGGAGGCGCGGUCGAAACGUCACUCCACCUCUGAGCUAGGGACCAUCACCUUCAGUGACGUACGCAAGGACGGCUGGCUUCACUACAAACAGAUCCUCACGGAGAAGGGAAAAAAGGUGGGCGGCGGCAUGCGUCCGUGGAAGCACGUCUUCUCCGUGCUGCGCUCCCACUGCCUUUUGCUCUACAAAGACAAGCGGGAGGCGGUCCUCCACGGGGCGGGGGCGGGACCUGGCCACGGGGAGGACGAGCACCCUCCAAUCAGCAUCCGCGGCUGCCUGAUUGACAUUGCCUAUAGCGAAACCAAGCGUAAGCACACUCUGAGGCUGACCACUCAGGACUUCUGUGAGUACCUGUUGCAGGCGGAGGACAGAGAUGACAUGCUGGGCUGGAUCCGGGUCAUCAGAGAGAACAGCAAGACAGACAACGAGGAGCUGGGUUUUUCCAGACAAGCUCUCAUCAGCAAGAAGCUCAAUGACUACAGGAAACAAACCAAGGGUCCAUGGGGUAUCAUCAUGAAGAAAGCAAAGAAGACAGGCCCCAAGGUGUUUGGAGUGCGACUUGAGGACUGUCAACCUGCUGUUAACAACAAGUUUGUCCCUCUGAUUGUGGAGCUGUGCUGUGGGCUGGUGGAGAGCAUGGGUCUGGAGUACACUGGCGUCUACAGGGUGCCGGGCAACAAUGCCAUGGUGUCCAACCUGCAGGAGCAGCUCAACAGGGGCCUGGAGAUCAACAUUACUGAGGAGAGAUGGCAGGACCUGAAUGUGAUCAGCAGUCUCCUCAAGUCCUUCUUUAGGAAACUCCCAGAACCCCUGUUCACUGAUGACAAGUAUAAUGACUUUAUUGAUGCCAACCGGCUAGAGGACUCAGGGAACAGGCUGAAGAGCAUGAAGAAACUGAUCCAUGAUCUUCCAGACCACUAUCACCACACUCUAAAGUUCCUGGUCUGUCAUCUGAAGACAGUGGCGGAUCACGCCGACAAGAACAAGAUGGAGCCCAGGAACCUGGCUCUAGUGUUUGGUCCCACUCUGGUGCGUACCUCAGAGGACAACAUGACCGACAUGGUCACCCACAUGCCCGACCGCUACAAGAUCAUCGAGACGCUCAUCCUGCAUGUAAGAACUGCAGUCGUUCACCAUCUGAUUACUCAGUGGUCAGCUAGUGAUCAUCAGACCCAGGCAUCAUUCCAAGGGUCUCCUAUCAGUGAUUUUAAGGACCUGAGUGCCAGGGACUUCCUCCCGUUGUCAAUCAUCUCCGCAGUGACCCGGAAACGCAAGAUACGCCCCAUCUCCCGCCCCCUGAGCAGCAGCACCGACGAAGACUCCGAACAUGAGCCAAUCAAAGCCAGCAACUACGGGGUAGGGGGAGGAGCCAAGGAAGAUGAGGAGGAAGGGGUUGGAAAAGGAUGCGCCCCUAAUGGAACUGAGGAAGUGGAGGAAAAGGGAGAAGAGGAGUGUAGGAAGAGGAUAGAGGCAAAACAGCAGUCUGACAGAGGAAGAGAGAAGGAGGGAGAAGGGAAGAAAGAAGGGAGUGCAUGGGCAAAAGAUAAAGGGGUGGCAUCCCCCAAACCUCAUCCUAACAGCUUCCUCUACACACACUACCAACCCACCACCACCAGCCCUAGCCCCCCAGUAGAGCCCUCAGUCUCCCCACAUUCGAAGCUCCCCGGCCUGGCCCGAGGACGCUCCACUGUCCCCUCCUGGCUCUCUCCCUCCAGACAGCCUGGCUCUAUCCAACCUUAUAACACCCAGAAAACACAACAGCCCCAGUUGGAACAGCAGCCACUGCCAGUGCAAUAUAGGAAGACAAGAGGAGGAAGGGCAAGGCCCCAGUCAAUGAAUUUGGAUAUGGUGAUGGGUAAGGGGGAGGGCGAGGGGGGAGUUGGGAGACGGGGAGAUAGGGUGAAGGUGGUAAGAGCCACAACAGAAGUGCAACGUCACCGCAGCAGUUCAGUUGGUGUUCCUCAGGGGUGUGUUGUCGCAUCCCUCAAAGUUCAAAGGAGUUCACGCCUAGCCUCUGCUCUAGCCCCAUCUCCAGUCUCUUUCUCUCCCCCUCUCCCUUCCUCCUCCUUUUCCCCUUCAUGGACAGAUCAGGGAUCCCUUGGUUCUACUGUUGUCAAGCGGAGGUCGGCCCUGGAGCCUCGAGACAAGCGGAAAGCCUGGCGCCGCCACACGGUUGUGGUCUAA
rnacentral:lncRNA from 1 species